CUGGAAGAACUGAGAAUAUGAUAAGUCUGGAGAGUCAGAGCGGAGGUGGAGGCCCAGGGCAAGGACAGAGCUGGUGAGACCCGGCAAAGCCCCAGCUAUCUACCAGACCUGGGUUCCUCUAACUGCAGGUGUCACCCACUAUGGAUCAUGAAAUUAAUUUAGCAUCCGAUUUGGCAUGAAAACCUGCCACAGACGGACUGCUUCUGUGAAAACCAGUACUGAGGUACUGAUAUCAUCUUGUGCAGGGGGAGCCUGGAGUCAUGCAUUUCCCCUCUCAGGGGAGCCGUCCACAUCUAUUUGAUUUCUGCGAGGCAUGCCAGCAGGCUUUGGCUCCAUGUUAAUGGCUUUCUUCCUUUUGAAUUCCUGAGCGAUGUUACUCCUUUUGGUUUCCAGGAGUUGUGUGCCAUGCUGAUUUCAGCCCAGUAACACUUUUGCCGUGAUAAAAAGCGAUGAUGAGGAAGGCCUGCUGUGUAUCCUCUGUCUAAUGCUGCUACCCAACAACUACUAAUGCUGGCUCUCGGAGAGUGCAAAGGCUGGGCUCUGUUCCCAGGGCCCUGGUCAUGUGCCUUUACUGUCUAAUAAAUUGAGAACUCCAAA